UCUUCAUGUACCCGAGCAGCAUCUAAAAGGUUAGAAUCGAUCCAUUGCUGGUUAUUUGUUUACCAUCCAAGCGUCAGUUCCAGAAUGUGUUAUUGCCUGAUGCACAAAUUUCUAGAUCGAAUUGUCAGUUAUUCAUGAUUCAUCCAUGUGUAUUUUGUUUAGUCAGUGUAAAAUCUUGAUUACACACUUGCAAUAUGUAAUAUGUGCUGGCAUUCUCUCUCGAGCAAAUUGCAUAGUGAAGUGGGAAAUGGGCACUACUUGUCUAUACUGAAUUUGGUCCCAUGUGUAAAUUUGUGUAUGGUGUAUGGAUAUUCCUGCUCCUAAACUAUUGCUGGACAUGUGACUUCACCUUGACCAACCAAGGAUUAGUCGCUUGGAAGUUGCAUAAAAGAUAACUGCAUUAUUUAGCACUUAGGCAUUUGCAAGUACUGUUAAUAAAUCAUUUUUUACUUGCUCUGAAUAAGAGAGAGGGACAGAUUGAUGGUAGGGAUGUGGAAUUGCUGGGUGUAUUUCUCGUACAUGAUCAAGAUUUUUAGUUCGAUGACAUUCUGUUGCCAUGAUAUCUUAUUUUGUGCAUAAUUAUGGUUCGAAAUUCUUCAUGUAAAUCUUGAUUCACAGCCUUCUGUUUGAUCCCCUGCUAAUUUUAUACGUCGCAUCGAAUGCAGGUUAUUUUGAAGUGUGGAGGAUUUCGCUCGUCCCUUAGGUUUCAUUUCAGAGUCUUGUAAGAUGGAUUCAGGCCUGGAUAGCAAGUUCAACUGCUGUUUCCCUGUGAAGAACUGUAGUCUUCAUGUUAUCUUGAAUGUGUGGGUCGCACAUUAUAUGAUGUUAUAUGUAGUUCGAACCUGAUGCUAUGUUUUGCCCACUUUUUGCGUUCUAUCCUUGCAAUUUUAGCUAUCAAAUCUGAUUCAGAGAUGUUUUUACUCCUCUUUUAUGCAUGUUUAUAUGCCCUUUUGAUGAUUGGUGGAAGUGGUUUAAUUGGCUUGGCACUGACGAGCGCGAGAACUUGUUCGUUUGGGAAGAUUAAAAUGCCUUUUAUGGAAAUUGUUGAACGCCACUGUAUGUUAGACUAACGAGUCUCAUGUACUUUGUGCUUAUCGUCUCCCCGAAGAUUAGCUGUUAGCUAGCCUCUAGGAGGUUGUCAGCACGUUUCCAUGCCCCCUGUGCAUGUAUUUUUAGCCCCUGGCAAGAAACUAGGAUUUCUGGAAAAACUGUAUCUGGUAACCAUUUGGUGUUUAUACAACAACAGCAACAAAGCCUUUAGUCCCAAACAAGUUGGUGUAGGCUAGGUGAAACCCAUAAGAUUCAGCAACCAAUUCAUGGCUUUGGCACAUGGAUAGUAAGCUUUCAUGCACCCUUGUCCAUAGCUAGCUCUUUGGUGAUACUUCAAUCCUUCAGGUCUCUCAUAACGGACCCCUCUCAUAUCAAAUUCGGUCUACCCCGCCCUCUCUUGACAUUCUUCGCACGCUUUAGCCGUUCGCUAUGCACUGGAGGCCUGCGCUGAAUAUGCGGUCCUUCCUCGUGUGGCCACGCAUCCAUCUCAACAUACGCAUCUCCGCCACACCUAACUGUUGAAAAUGUCGCCUUUUAGUCGGCUAACACUCAACGCCAUACAACAUUGCAGGUCGAACCGUCGUCCUGUAGAACUUGCCUUUUAGCUUUUGUGUCACAGAGAAUGCCAGAAGUUUGGCGCCACUUUAUCCAUCCGGCUUUGAUUCGAUGGUUCACUACUUCAUCAAUACCCCCAUCCUCCUGCAACAUUGAACCCAAAUAUCGAAAGGUGUCCUUCUGAGGUACCACUUGGCCAUCAAGGCUAACCUCCUCCUCCUCACACCUAGUAGUACUGAAACCGCACAUCAUGUACUCGGUUUUAGUGCUACUAAGCCUAAACCCUUUUGAUUUCAAGGUUUGUCUCCAUAACUCUAACUUCAUAUUUACUCCCGUCUAACUAUCGUCAACUAUCCACAAAGAGCAUACACCAUGGGAUAUCUCCUUGUAUAUCCCUCGUGGCCUCAUCCAUCAUCAAUGUAAAAAGAUAAGGGCUCAAAGCUGACCCCUAAUGCAGUCCUAUCUUAAUCGGGAAGUCAUCAGUGUCGACAUCACUUGUUCGAACACUUGUCACAACAUUAUCGUACAUGUCCUUGAUGAGGGUAAUGUACUUUGCUGGGACUUUGUGUUUCUCCAAGGCCCACCAGAUGACAUUUCGCGGUAUCUUAUCAUAGACCUUCUCUAAGUCAAUGAACACCACAUGCAAGUCCUUCUUUUGCUCCCUAUGUCUCUCCAUAAGUUGUCGUACCAAGAAAAUGGCUUCCAUGGUCGACCUCCCAGGCAUGAAACCAAACUGAUUUUUGGUCACGCUUGUCAUUCUUCUUAAGCUGUGCUCAAUGACUCUUUCCCAUAGCUUCAUUGUAUGGCUCGUCAUCUUAAUUCCACGGUAAUUAAUACAACUUUGAACAUCCCCCUUGUUCUUGAAGAUUGGUACUAAUAUACUCCGUCUUCAUUCUUCUUGCAUCUUGUUUGCCCGAAAAAUGAGGUUGAAAAGCUUGGUUAGCCAUACUAUCGCUAUGUCCCCGAGACCUUUCCACACAUCAAUGGGGAUACAAUCAGGGUCCAUCGCCUUGCCUCCUUUCAUCCUUUUUAAAGCCUCCUUGACCUCAGACUCCUGGAUUCGCCGCACAAAACGCACGCUGGUCUCAUCAAAGGAGUCGUCCAGUUCAAUGGUAGAACUCUCAUUCUCCCCAUUGAACAGCUCGUCGAAGUACUCCCGCCAUUUAUGCCUAAUCUCCUCGUCCUUCACCAAGAGUUGGUCUGCUCCGUCCUUGAUGCAUUUGACUUGGCCAAUAUCCCUCGUGUUCCUCUCUCGGAUCUUGGCCAUCUUAUAGAUGUCCCUUUUGCCUUCCUUCGUGCCUAACCGUUGGUAGUGGUCCUCAUAUGCCCGACCCCUUGCUUCACUAACAGCUCGCUUUGCGGCCUUCUUCGCCAUCUUGUACUUCUCUAUGUUGUAUGCACUCCUAUCCAGGUAUAGGCGUCUGGAGCAAUCUUUCUUCUCUUUAAUCGCCUUCUGGACAUCAUCAUUCCACCAUCAGGUAUCCUUAUCUUCGCUUCUCCUUCCCCUGGACACUCCAAACUCCUCCGAGGCCACCUUACAAAUGCAAGUCGCCAUCUUCAUCCACACAUUGUCCGCAUCCCCUCCUUCCUCCCAAGGGACAUCCUUAAUGACCCUCUCCUUGAACGCCUGAGCUACCUCCCCCUUGAGCUUCCACCACUUCGUUCUAGCGACUUUGGCACGCUUAUCCCGCUGGACACGAAUCCGAAAGCGGAAGUCAGCAACCACCAGCUUAUGUUGGGGUACAACACUCUCUCCAGGUAUCACCUUACAGUCUAGGCACGCACGCCUAUCUUCUCUUCUCGAGAGGAUGAAAUCAAUCUGGCUAGAGUGUUGGCCACUACUAGAAGUCACCAUAUGUUAUUCUCUCUUUCUAAGGAGGGUGUUAGCUACAAUCAUGUCGUAGGCUAGAGCAAAACUUAAGACAUCUUCUCCUUCUUGAUUCCUGAUGCCAUAGCCAAAGCCCCCAUGCGCCCCUUCAAAACCUGUGUUAGAUGUACCCACGUGGCCAUUGAGGUCUCCUUCUAUGAAGAGAUUCUCACCAAUCGGUACACUCCUAACCAUGUCUUUCAGGCCUUCCCAGAACUCUCUCUUGGUUUUCUCAUUGUGGCCUACUUGCGGGGCAUACACGCUGAUAACAUUGAGAACCAAGUCCUCAACUACCAGCUUGACCAGGUUAAUCCGGUCCCCACGUCUCUUGACGUCUACCACUCAUACUUGAGGCUCUUGUUGAUCAAGAUGCCUAUGCCAUUUCUGUUUGCAGCCGUCCCCCUUGAAGCGGUAUCCUCCACCUCCUUCGCUUUCUGUCCUCUCCAUUUGGUUUCUUGGACGCAAAGAAUAUCAACACCUUUUCCUCACCGCUGCAUCAACUAGCUCUAGAAGCUUCCCUGUCAGAGACCCUACGUUCCAGCUACCUAAACGAAUCCUCCUAGGCUCGGCUAGUUUUCUUACCCUUCGCACUCGUCGAGUCAAAUGCGAAGACCCUUGCUCAUUUUCCACUACAUCCGGGCGCCGAUGUAGCGCGCCACUAAGGAUGCGACGACCCGAUCCUCGCUCACUUGCCACCGUACCCAGAUCAAGAUAUGGCGCGCCACCUGGGAGGUGACGGCCCGGCGCUUGCCCAUUUGCCACCACACCCGAGUUCCGAUGUGGCGCGUCGCUGAGAGGGUUACGCCCCAACGAAAAUCUUUUGGGUUUCAUCUCCAUAAGAGUGGCUGAGUUUUUACGUUGGCUCGCCAAGCCUAUCACAACCCUCCUCCUUUACCCGGGCUUGGGACCGGCUAUGUUGAGACAACAUAGACAGAGUUAACAUGGGCGGUGUUUAUACAUAAUAAUAUAAAAAUACGUGCAUUGUGGUUCCAAAGAUCUGCAACAAGGCUUUAUCCAAUGGUGUUGGCUGGUUACAUAUUUUUUAAUUCUAAAAAGGCGUGUGCAUUUCUAUAUCUUUACGAACUUAACAUGGUAUAAAAUCAUAUGUUAACGUAUAUGCGCAUACACUCACCCCUAUGAAUGCAACGCACUCAUCCCUAUGAAUCUCAAUAUCUUGAGAUUGAUGAAGUCAUCAUAGUCGAUGUGACUCUCACCAAACGAACAUCGCCGGAAAGGUUGAAAUAAAUCUAGAAACAUGGACUGUGUUUUUAGCAAAUUAUGUGUCAAAGUUAUUUAAAAUUCGCAUCUCUAACUUAAUUCAAAUGCUUUGCCAUGAUUUUUGCAACCAAACUGCAUAAUAUAUAUAUAUAAUCUACAUAAGUUGGGCUAAUCUCACUUUCUUAAAGCCGCAUAACCGCCCCUGAGGUAUCGUAGAGCAUGUUGUGGAUGGGUCACACUCCUUGCAAGGCAAGCCAUUGAAUUGUCACUUUAGAGCAUCUCCAACAGACGCCCAAUAUUAGCGUCGUGUCCAAAAAUUCACAAGUUUAGCGCGCGCGGAGUUGAAAAUAGCACUCCAGCGGACGCUGCAUAAUAGAGCACGCUGUAAAAAGUGUUCAGCGCGCCGGACGAAACUGAAUCGCAAGUCGUAUAUUUAGCGCAUGAGCUCCAACGCGCUGAACUUCUCACGUGCGCCACAGCCGCUGUUGGCCUCCUCGCGUGCGCCCCCGCCGGCCUCCUCGCAUGUGCGCGCCAGCCGGCCACGGGCGGGGCGGACCGCGGCCACGGCCACCGCGUCGGCGGNNNNNNNNNNNNNNNNNNNNNNNNNNNNNNNNNNNNNNNNNNNNNNNNNNNNNNNNNNNNNNNNNNNNNNNNNNNNNNNNNNNNNNNNNNNNNNNNNNNNNNNNNNNNNNNNNNNNNNNNNNNNNNNNNNNNNNNNNNNNNNNNNNNNNNNNNNNNNNNNNNNNNNNNNNNNNNNNNNNNNNNNNNNNNNNNNNNNNNNNNNNNNNNNNNNNNNNNNNNNNNNNNNNNNNNNNNNNNNNNNNNNNNNNNNNNNNNNNNNNNNNNNNNNNNNNNNNNNNNNNNNNNNNNNNNNNNNNNNNNNNNNNNNNNNNNNNNNNNNNNNNNNNNNNNNNNNNNNNNNNNNNNNNNNNNNNNNNNNNNNNNNNNNNNNNNNNNNNNNNNNNNNNGGCCACGGGUGGCGCGGCCACCACGGGGCGGAGCGCGGCCACGGCAUGACGAGGCGAGCAGGCCACAGCGGGGCGGAGCGCGGCCAGGGCCACGGGCGGCGGGGAAUGGCCAUGACCAUGGCGGCAAGCAGGCCACGGGCGGCGAGCUAGGUACAGGCGCGCGUGGUUAAUUUUGGGCGCCUGUUGAAGAUGCUACUGUUGCUAAUUGGGCAGUAUAUUUCUGGGCGUCUACUGAAGAUACUCGGUCAUCCGGCGCUAAAACGCUAUUUUGACGCUGUAAAAAAAAUUAGCGCGCGACUACGUAGGACGUGUGUUGGAGAUGCUCUUAUCAUCAUCAAGUACCACCACUGCCAGUGCGUGAUAACCCACUUGAACUAUAACCGACUAUCCGUUCGGACAAAACACCAAAUGCGCCUAUUCUAUGAACAUCACACUUACACAAACAUUCCUGAAGAAUAUUAACUCGAGUAUGCAAAAGAGGAUUCUAUAUACAAUCGGCUUUCGACACCUAAGAGCAACUUCAAUGGGGGACCUAUUUCGUCCGCGGCCGUCCGUUUGGGUUGGCUCGGACAGAAAAGUCGGCCCAACGCGCCGACCCAAACAGACACGCGUCCGCUUUUGUCCGCCUGCCGACCCAUUCCUGGCCCAUUUUUGAGCCAGAUUUGCAUCGGCGCGGACACAAGACGGACGCGCGCGCUCGCCCUCUUUUCUCACCGGGCCCGUUGGUCGGUGGCACAUUGGACUGGCCUCUCCACAUCAAAUAGCACACCAUCGUCCGCCUGCUUCGUCGCCGACGACGCCGGCCAUUUUUCCCGAUAAAAAGAUAGUUCUAGCGUACACAGAUAAAAGAAAAGACCAACUACUCGUCGCUUUCCGACUUCGACUCGGUAAUGUCCUCCUCCGACGUCUGAAUAUAGGCGUCAGCAUGCUGCUCGUCUUCGAAGUCCCAACCCGACGUUUCUCGUAACUUCAGUUUCAAUUGAGCGGCCUGCUUCCGCGAACGCUUGUCCUCCCGAUAGGCGGCUCGCUCCGUUCUCCUCGCGUCCCUCUCCAACCUCCUUUGCUUGUAGAACUGGCGCUCGUCGGCGAUGUCCUGCGGGAAGCGUUCGCGCCACACCACCAUGGCUUCCACGUACAUCUCGGCGAUGACGAGGCGACGCUGCCGCCUCCGGUGGACACGACGAUCCUCGUCGGUAAAAAGCCGCGGGAGAGGCGCGAGAUCCUGCGCCCGCUGGCUCGACACGUCGGGAAAAUUCAUCUCCCGACGAGGCCUCAGGAGGCGCCACGCCGCCGCGUCGUGCGCGCGGGCCGCCUCCUCUGUGGUGUCGAAGGUGCCGAGGAUGAGGCGUUUCUCGCAAAACCAGAUCUCGGAGGAGAAGCCGCCGGAGCGGCGCUCGCGGACUCCGGAAAAUCCGAAGCACCCAGGCAGCGCAUCGACAUGGUGGCGCAGAGGCGGUGAGGCUAGUGAGAGGGGGGCGAGAUGAGUGGGCGGCGGACAGAGUGUGGAUGAGGCGCCUUCUUAUAACGAGCGCCGGCCGCGGCGCGCGCGCGAACCUUUCCCGCGCGCUGGAGCGCCAAAACCAGCAUGCGCUACGCCGCUUUUCCCCGCGCGCGCGAACCUUUCCCGCGCGCUGGAGCGCCAAAACCAAGGCGACAGCAUGGCCGCUGGCAUGAUCUAAAGCGCGCACGGUCAUGAAAUGGGUCGCCCGUUGGGCGCACUGCCGACCCAAAAUUAAAACAGGGCGGACGGUGGGCGGGCGGCCGACCCAAACGGACAAAAAGCGGACAAAAACGCCAUCCGUUUGAGUCGGCCCGUUGGAGUUGCUCUAAACAUACUAGAGUUCCUCCAUAUCCUUGAAAACUAGAGGUAGUACUUGGGCAUAGAGACGGCAAACAUCACAAAAAUAAUAAUGGUAAACAUGGAUGAACGAUUAAAGCAAUACACAUAAGCAAACGGCCUUUCAUUGUUAGUGUUUCUCGUGCCGCCGCCGUCGUCAUCGGAGAAAUUUAGGUUCCCUCGCCUCCAGCUGCCAUCUUAGCCCUGAGAGGUGGGGGAGACCUCGGAUCUUCAAGAUAUUUAUGUCCUUCGCCAUUGUCUAGUGAUUAUUAUAGUUUUGUGAGAAUAAAUUUCAUCUCGUUCUUUUGACGGUGCCAUGAGAUUAAAGAGUUUUCUGUCCUCGCAGAUCCAAUUAUUCAGAUCUGAUGAGUUUAUGUUGCUGUGUCAAGCCUUUUUUGUUGGUCUAGUUCUUUGUGGAGGUGAAAUCUUUCAUCGACAUCAUGGUGAAGAUACAGUGAUUCGACGACCUGCAUUUCUAGGGGAUCAUCCCUGUCCCAAGUAGGUUCAUCGAUCAAGGCUUCCCAUCUUUUUGGAUGGGCGACUCAAGGCGCUUUCAAAAACCAUUAUUGGUAGUGUCCGUGUGGGUGAAGGAGUGACAACCUCGUUGUUCCAGUCCAAUUGCAGCCUCUUUACCGAAGUCUUUGGAGUAUUUCUUCGAGCAGAGAUUGGCGCCGUGAAGAAGGUCUUUUUAAGAGAUUUCAUUAUAAUCCUUAGUUAGGAGUUACUUUGUAUUUUCUUGAAUGUUAGGUCCAAAUCAGUGUACUUGUAAUUGUUUUGAGUAUGAAUAAAGUUACACGUGUUUCUAUUCUAAAAAUAAGUAAUACCCAUAGCUUUUCACCCAGGGUCCGACAUUACAAAGAGAUGAAUAGGAGAUGGUGAUGGUGAUGGUUGAUGCCGAAAUCUCCAUAACUCCGAUUUGUGUCGAAUCCGCCGUGGUGAAAUAGUCGGUCCGCGGAGGCGAAACUACCUAGUACGAGCUAUGGUACGAGCGGUCGCGCUCGUACCAAGCGUUGUCUUUCUCUCCUGGAUGCCACUUCUCUUUAUGAUAGGUUUCCAUCACGUCAAAUAACAUUGAUUUUCACCCACAUAUCAGUGUUCUCUCUAAUGUUUUAGAUCCCGUCGUUGGUUAAGAUCACGAUGAAAUCAAUCAAAAGGGUGUGCGCACGAGGUAAAAAAAUCUGACAAUCCUACGACUACAACAUAGAAACUAAAGGUAAACACUAAUGCAAAUUUAGACUCAUCAUGCGCAUUCGGAGGCCUCCCACGCUCCCCAACUGGGAGGUCACGGCGAUAGGAGCCCACCCCCCGGGUCGUCGAGGGGACGCCACUAGUAGAUUCAUGCUCUCUAUGCAUGGAUGCAACCGAGUCUGAGGGCCCAGGGGGCUCAUGUCCUGCCUGAGCAUGAGUCAACGCGAGGGUACCUUCAGAGAUCUCCUUAGCCCCGAUGACCGCAAUAUGUUCCAAGCAAGGUCCACACUCGUCCUGGAACACCAUCACACCGUAUGUGGCGAGAUCAGACAAGUGCUUUAGGGGAAUCGUUUGAGGAUCGAGAACCCAAAACCCGAAUGGCGAGGGAAGGGAGGGGAAGUACCUUUUUUUUUAGGUGAAGGAGGGGAAGUACCUGAAUCGAGGUUGUAGACUGUGGCCUCUCGGGCCACUACCGCCAGGCCACAAGUAACAUAGUAUUUUUUCCGAGUCGCAUGAGUAACAUUGUUGCGAGAGAAGUAAUAGCUAUUUUUUUAAUACAGUAUAUGGCAUUGCAUCCGAAAAAGAAUACAAAAGGUGUAGUAAAGCCUUAUGUUUCUAAAUUCUGUUUUUGUGUGCCGAAACUGCAAAGUUCCCGCCAGCCACGGAGAAAAUUUCGUGUUGCCCACCAUCUCGCCCACGUCAUCGAUCCGAGGCACCGGCCUCUCCACCAAUCAGCGCGCACCUCCUCCCCGCUAUAUACUUCCUCCGCCCCCGCAUCCAUUCGCAUCAGCAAUUCCCCACCUCCCAGCGAAACACCCCCGCUCCCUCUCCCACCUCCGAAGCAGCAGCAGCCAUGGCCCCCAAGGCAGACAAGAAGCCGGCCGCCGAGAGCAAGGUCGAGAAGGCGGCGGAGAAGACCCCGGCAGGCAAGAAGCCCAAGGCCGAGAAGCGGGUGCCGGCGGGCAAGACGGCGGCCAAGGAGGGCGCCGGCGGCGAGGGCAAGACUCGGGGCCGGAAGAAGGGCAGCAAGGCCAAGAAGGGCGUGGAGACGUACAAGAUCUACAUCUUCAAGGUGCUGAAGCAGGUGCACCCGGACGUGGGCAUCUCCUCCAAGGCCAUGUCCAUCAUGAACUCCUUCAUCAACGACAUCUUCGAGAAGCUCGCCGGGGAGUCGGCCAAGCUGGCGAGGUACAACAAGAAGCCCACCAUCACCUCCCGGGAGAUCCAGACCUCCGUCCGCCUCGUCCUCCCCGGCGAGCUCGCCAAGCACGCCGUCUCCGAGGGCACCAAGGCCGUCACCAAGUUCACCUCCUCCUAGGCUGAAUCUGAAUGCGUCGCCUUGUUGUAGUUGGCUGCUGUUGACUCUGCUUAUCUCUCUCAAGUAGUGGUAGUAGUAGUUGUGCACUAGAUGAUUGCCAACGCUUUGUUGGAUCCUUGGUUGUUGCUUUUGCAAGCUGAUAUCUAUGUAGAAUGUGGAAGUUGUGGUUGUGUAUCCGUAUCCACAGUGAUGAUUUGACAGAUGUUGGCUUUUCUACUCUUCUGAACUGAACGCAGCCAUGCCUGGCCAAUUUGCAUUUUGUCUGCGAGUUCUAGUGCUGAUUGAUCGGAAUGCAAACUGAGAUGCGAUUUAGACUAAUGAUGCAUUGAUGCUGUUUGUGAUUUCUUCAGUCUGUGAUUUUAUUUAGAAGAACAGCAAUUGCUUGCACUAAUCUCUGCCGUGUGUUUCUGCUUUCGUACGGUAGUAAGUUCAGUCUGCAGACCCCUGAUCCUCCAUCAGCAGGUUCCGUUUCUGCACGAGAUCGAGAAAACCAGUGUUCAGUGGAACAUGGCAAUGCAGAAUUGAGUCUUGUUCUUGUUUUGGCACCCCAGUAAUUAGCAUCGCUGAUGCAUUACUCUGCGAUUAGUGUCAGUCAAUUGGCAAACCAGUCUGCAGCAGCUUGGCUUCGCUGUUUUAUUGCCUCGCUCUUCAUUGAAGAAAACUUACAUGCCUUCUACGCACAUUUUGUGUGCCAUGGAACGGAAGGUAUGCUCUUGUCCUGUGGCCGGAGCUUCAGUCUUGGCAGCAUCGUGUGCUGAAAAUAGGAAAUGAGUUAUCCACAAUCAGUCGAAGGAUUAGAAACUUUUGUGACUUACGACGGCAGUAUUUUUUGCGUCUGUAUGACUAUCUGUGCUGUUCUGUAAUACCACUAGCCAUUAGUACGCACAAGGUAGAAGCAGUGGCGUAGCCACAGGGUGGCCAGGGUGGUCCAUGGACCACCCUGGGAUUUGGCCCACCAUCAGCCCAUGAGUAAUAUUUUUUAGCAUUCAGAGAGAGAGAGAGAGAGAGAGAGAGAGAGAGAGAGAGAGAGAGAAAACAUAGGCCAGCUACGGGAGCCACAUUACCAUUUCCAAGUACUUGCACAAGGCUAAUCUGCCUGCUGAUCGUUCUCAACUUCCGUUCCUGACUAAAUAUAUGGAGAUGCAACUUAUUCUGAGCUUCGACGCUCCUGAUUCCUCCUGAAUGGCUACAGCUAGCUAGCAGAGACAACAUGGCACGGGGCAACGCAGGCGGCCGGCAGCAUGCUGCAGGUAGAGGGGUUGGUUUCCCGGUGUUGUGUGGCAUCCGGCAGUAGAAGGCAGGGUGUCGGGGUGUGUGUCNNNNNNNNNNGGGGGGGGCUUGAGCCGCUGAACAAGUGCACCGACCGACCGAUGUCAACACAUCUAUUCUUUUUAAGUUCUCAUCUCUUUCCAGGUAUGUUCUCAAUUUUUCCUUUCAUGGUUUGAAUAAGCUUAACUGAGAGUGCAAAUCUCAACCUUUUUUUGCUUUCUGGGUUUGUCUAUAUUAAUGCUUGAACUGGAAAUUGAUUAUAAUAGAUUCACUCUGAUUGAGAGUUUCACUGAUUAAAAGAUACUCCCUCCGUACGAAAAAGUUUGUCCCAAGUUUGUCCCUCAAAUAGAUGUAUCUAUCACUAACUUGUUGCUAGAUACAUCUAUUUGAGGGACAAGUUUUUUUGGACGGAGCGAGUAUUAUAGAAAUGUUGCAAAAAGAAGAGGGUUGGAGACAUUGCAUCCUUUUAUUGAUUUGUGCUUUUGAUAAAUUCUAUAUUCAAAAGAUAGCAUGUUGUGUUCUUGUCCAAAAAAUUGUGUCAGUUGGACCACCCUGGAUCGAAAUCCUGGCUACGCCACUGGGUAGAAGAGAUCUUUGGAGUGGGACAUGUGGAGCGAGCCAUGGUUCUUGAAGAUGCAUGCGAUUUUGCUGCAUUGAAGCAACUGAAAGAAAGUGACACACAGCUGAAGUGGCAAUGGAAUGGCGUCAGCGUAUGAAACGUUUCUAGGGUUUGGGUUCAGCUUAUUCCACGUGCUGGGUGAUGCUACUCCCUUGAACUAAAACCAUGACGAGUAAUUUGGAACGAAGGGAGUAGUUUACAAAGUACUGUACGAUACUAUGUACAAGCAAUGCCUUGCAAAAUAUGUCCCUCAAAUGUUCCGAUUCACAUACUAGUAAAUGGUAAUGACUUCGUUUUUGACGAGCUACUUUGGAGGUCCAAAAAGUUUCGGAUCAACAAUGGAGUCGUGUUGAGUUCGGAUGAAGAUGUGAUCCGUCCGUUUUUCCUUCGGUGACCGUUAUGAUGGUGUUGGAGAAGGGUGACGGAAGCUGGCAUCAUGCUCAAGAGAUUUUUCGGUCUUGCUUGUAAUUUCCUUUUUGGGUCAGUGUCUAUGUGACUUAUACUUUAUUCUUCGGUAACCGCCUUAUCCUCUGAUGCUGGUCGGGUAAACAUUUUUUGAAUUAUAAAAAUGUGUGCACAUUUCUUUAUCUUAGAUUGCACAUUUUUUUGUGCAACUUUAGUACUUUCAAUAUUCAAGUCGGCCGAAAUCAAACCGGGAGGUUUUCUUUUGUGGGAAUGCCAAAGUAGGUUAAGCUACAUUUUUUAGCAAACAACUAACUUUCUUAAUAAUUAAUCAAAGUUCUUCAAAAGUCACAUCUUUAACUGAAGUCAAAUGAAUGUCAAAAUUGUAUAAGCUGGGCUAACCUUAACUUUUUUUUGAAAAGCUGCAUAGACACCCAUGAGGUAUCUAGAGCAUGUGUGUGGUUGGGGUCACACCCCUUGCAAGGCAAGCCAUUGAGUUGUCACUUGAGCACUAUCAUCAUCACACCACCAUCACUACCACCACCGCCCUGAUGAUAAUCCAAUUGAACUAGAGCCGACUAUCUGUCCAAACAAAACACCAAAUGCUUCUUGGUUUCGGGUGCAUGGUCUAUGAAUGCCACACCAUGGCAAAAAAUAUAGCCGCACAAUAUUUAUUAUAAUGUCAUCGCGAAAAACAAACCUAAAUGAAACAACCUAAAAACAUAACUAUGACAUUGAUCUGUAGUUCUCCCACUCUCGGCUUGUGACAGAAAAACCGGGAGAAAAGCUUUUUUUAGGAGUGAAGAGAGAAAUUUGGCAGAGUAACAAAAAAAAUGGAGCUUUCCGUCGGGUGGCCAAAGUUUUUUCUAGCCUUGGUGGCUGAAGGUUAACUGGGUGGGCCAGGUGGCAAAUCACGACUACACACAAAUAGGUUUGCCACAUGGGCUUCAGUAACUGUUGGGCAAUAUAUUCUGUGGGCUCAGGCCAUGGCCGCGGAAGUGCAUACAACCCAGGCUCUAGUUUGCCUAAAAAGUACCCAGGCCCCGCUUGGGAGACCUGGAAAAUAUACCCCUGUAAAUAUUUCUACAUUUGUAUUUUACUUGUCACCAAUGGAAGGGGGGGACCUAUUUGGCGCGCGGGUCACCGGUUAGCAACCGCACGCGUACCCCCCUCAUGCGUGCGUUUUUGUAUGGGCCGUCCAUUUAUGGGUUUCAUCACCUGUUUUGAAAAGGUUCAAGGUUCUAGAACCUUCCCCGAACCUUUUUUGUUUUUAAUUUUUUCUUUCUGUUUUAUCUUUCCUUUUCUUCCAUGUUUAUUUUCCUGUUUUAUUUUUAUUUUUUCUUUUGUUUUAUAUUAUAUUUUAUUUUUUUCUAAUAUUUUAAAUUCGUGAACACUUUUUAAAUUCAUUUUUUUGAAAUCAUAAUUUUUUUAAAUUCACAAACAAUUUUUACAAAUUCGUGAACUUUCUCUUAAAUCAUGAAAUUUUUUACAAUUCGUCUAUAUAUUUUGAAUCAUGAACAUUUUUUAAAGUCAUGAGCAUUUCUUAAGUUGGUGCACAUUUCUUUACAAGUUCGUGGACUUUUUUGAAAUCAUGGAUAUUUUUAAAAAUCAUGCACAAUUUUUAGUUCCUGAACAUUUUUUUACAAAUUCAUGAACAUUCUCUUAAACCGUGAACUUUUUUGAAUUCCCAAAUACUUUUUCUGAAGUCAUGAUUGUUUUCAAAAUUUUGCAACUUUUUAAAUAUCCCGAAUUACAGAAAAAGUAGGAAUAAACCAAAAGAAAAAAAAGGAAAAAACAAGGGGCAUCCCUGCGCGCACAUGGGCCGCCCUUGUAAGAUACAUCUAUCUUUGGUUGAUGAAGGAGGGUUGUGCCGGAGGCUGCAUCGAUGCAGAGAGCGGUGGAGAUGAAUUGGCCCGUCCGUUAGGGGUCUGCAACAGUAUCAAAUCAUCUUUUAUUGCUGGCUAUGGCGAGCUUGCUCCCGUCACUCUGCAGUCGCCGCCGCCGUUGUUCCAGAGUUAGCUCCGGCAGUCGCCGCCAACAUUGCCCUAGACCUUGCUCCGACAGUCGUUGCUGCUGCGGAGCUAAUUCCGCGGUGCCUACCGACGUUCCCGCGGAGCCGGCGCUCCCUGCCUGACUAGGACAACAAGCCCCCUGCUCGUCGCCGCCUCAAAACGUCGGCCGGUGGGAGCUCCAGCUGCGGCGGCGCUCACACCAGAGGCCAGGCUCAUGUUCCCUGCAACCGGUGCCUCGCCCGUCCCGUGUGGUUCCGGCCGUCCGGCGGCGGCAUGUACCCUUCUCCUCUAGCAGGUAGGAGAGACGGGAUGAUGGGAUACGAGAAAAAUUCAGACGUGAUGGGAGUGUUUCCGGCCAAAAUCGAGUGUAAUCUCAAAACCUAAAACCUCCGAAGUGCACGCGCACUAAACGGAGAGAACGAGCGACCGGCUCUCCACCGCACGAUCCCGUCGCGAUCGUAUCGCGCAAGCACCAGGUGCCGCCUGGUCCAUUUCCUCCCAUCGCGUGGUCGUGGGCGGUUUGUCCUUAUCCGACCCAGCGCGGGACCCACAUGUAAGUGGCUAGAGGGAGAUCGUGGGCGGCGGUUUCAAAACGCGAGCCGUUCUCUCCCCCAUUUCCUCCGCUGGUCGUGGCAUUCCUGUUCCUCUCCUCCCUUUCCGCUCUCGCUCUCGCCCCGCAACUGCGGCGUUGUCGCGCCGCGGCUCUCAAAUCACCGGCGGAUUCGUUGCUGGACCGCGGGGGGAUUCGCUGCUGGCCCUUGCCGGCGUUGCAGGUACCUACUACUGUCCUCCCUUUCUUUGUCUUGUCGCCGGGGGGUCUAGGUCGUGUCGAGGUCGUCGGUGGCGGAAAUGGCGAGCUGGGAUUCCUAGGGUUCCUAUGGCAUCAACUGCCUCGUAUGGUCGAUUUGGUGUAGAGGUAUCGUGUGUGCUUCCGUUCGACUCUCCUGUCCUUGGAUUUUGUGCGGCAGCAAGGGACAGUGGUGGUGGGGUUUCAUGGUGGGAGGGUGCGUUGGUGUUGGUGGAGUGGUUGUUGGGAUUUGCGGUCGACGCAGACGUCCCCGACGGCCUUUUGUUGUCCCUCCUCUCUCUGUCUCGUCGCCGGGGGUGAGGCCGUGUCCAGGUUGACGGUGGCGGAUGUGGCGGGCUGCAUAGGGUCCCUUGACGUGUUUGCUUCGAUUCGACCUUCAUAUGCUUCGAUUUUGUGCAAAUUAGAAGCAAUUGUAGACAAUUUUUGAGAUAAUAUAGCCAAUCUGCCAGCCUUGUGGUGGAUCUCCUGGUUCAUGCGUUCUCCCUUGUUGUGUGCAACUAGGGACCAUUACCUGUGCAAAUUAGUACCUAUGCUUGCCAAUUUCCCAAUAUACUCUAUCCAAGCUGCCAGUCUUUGUGAUGGAUCUGGUGGUUUGUGUGUUUUCCCCCUGCUGUGUGCAACUAGGGACCCUUGUUUGUGUAAUUUAGCACCAAUGCUUGCCGGUUUUCUAAUAUAGUCAACCCAAUCUGCCAGCCUUGUGGUGGAUGUGGUGGUUCACGUGUUUUCUCCUGCUGUGUGCAAAUAGGGACCAUCACUUGUGCAAAUUAGUACCACUGGUUGCCAAUUUUCCAAUAUAGUGUACUGAUUUUUCUGCCAGCUUUUGUGCUGGAUCUGGUCCUUCGUGUGUUUUUCCCGUGCCGUGUGCAACUAGGGCCCCUUGAUCGUGCAAAGCAGUAUCAAUGCUUGCCAAUUUUUCAAUAUAGUCUACCCAAUCUGCCAGUCUUGUUGUGGAUGUGGUUGUUCAUGUCUUUUCCCCUACUGUGUGCAACUAGGGACCCUUAUUUAUGCAAAUUAGUACCAAUGUUUGCCAAUUUCCAAUAUAGUAUACCCAAUCUGCCAGUCUUGUUGUGGAUGUGGUUGUUCAUGUGUUUUCCCCUGAUGUGUGCAACUAGGGACCCUUAUUUGUACAAAUUAGUACCAAUGCUUGUUGAUUUUCCAAUAUAGUAUACCCAAUUUGUUUUGCUGGAUAUAUUCUUGUUGGCUAUGCAUGUUUUGUUUGUCCCAGUUGCACAAGUUAUCAUACUCAGCUGGUUGCCUUUAGUUCACUAUUUUCUGCCUAGUUAUUACUUGCCACAGUUAAACUUAGUUGGCUUAUAAGCUGUCUAGUGGCACAAGGUUGACUGCCCAGUUGGCUGCAUCAUUGUAGUAGUUGGCUGUCCACAUGUUUUACAGUUUUUUGCACUAGGUGUCCUGCUUAUGUGUAGAGGUCUGCAGAUCAAAGCAACCUUUUAUGAUUUCUCUAGUUUGUUUGCACAUCUUCUAACUAUGUUUUCUUUUGUUGAAUUUCCCCCCGCAGGGCAAAAAUGGUUAUAAUAGGAGGAGAUGCGGAUGGCAAUGAAGAAGGUGUAUUUUUUUCACUUUUUUGUGUGUUUUGAGUUGUUUCCAACUUAUCCAUGUAUGCUAAUGUCCCUUUUUCAUGUUUUUUGUUGCUUAAUCAGCGUUCUGGAAGUCAGUCCCUUCGUCGGAACUUGAAGCUGAUGGGGAACGUAGUAAUUUCAAAAUUUUCCUACACACGCGCAAGAUCAUGGUGAUGCAUAGAAACGAGAGGGGAGAGUGUUGUCUACGUACCCUCGUAGACCGUAAGUGGAAGCGUUAUGACAACGCGGUUGAUGUAGUCGUACGUCUUCACGAUCGACCGAUCUUAGUACCGAACGUACGCCACCUCCGUGAUCUGCACACAUUCAGCUCGGUGACGUCCCACAAACUCACGAUCCAGCAGAGUGUCGAGGGAGAGUUUCGUCAUCACGACGGCGUGAUGACGGUGAUGAUGAAGCUACCGACACAGGGCUUCGCCUAAGCACUGCAACGAUAUGACCAAAGUGGAAUAUGGUGGAGGGGGCACCGCACACGGCUUGGAACAAUCAACUUGUGUGUCCUAGGGUGCCCCCCUGCCCCGUAUAUAAAGGAGCAAGGGGGGAGGCCGGCUGGCCUUGGGGCGCGCCAAGGAGAGGGGGAAGUCCUCCUCCUAGUGGGAGUAGGACUCCCCUUUCCUAGUCCAACUAGGAAGGAGGAAGGGGAAAGGAAGGAAAGGGAGAGAGGGAGGAAAGAGGAGGCGCCGCCCCCCCUCCUUGUCCAAUUCGGACUCCCAAGGGGGGGGGCAGCCCUAGGCCCUCUGCUCUCUCUCCCACAAGGCCCAUGUUGGCCCAUUAGUUUCCCCGGGGGUUCCGAUAACCCCCCAACACUCCGAUAAAUAUCCGGUGACCCCCGGAACUCAUCCGGUGUCCGAAUAUAGUUGUCCAAUAUAUCAAUCUUUAUGUCUCGACCAUUUCGAGACUCCUCGUCAUGUCCGUGAUCACAUCCGGGACUCCGAACUAUGUUCGGUACAUCAAAACACAUAAACUCAUAAUAUCGAUCGUCACCGAACGUUAAGCGUGCGGACCCUACGGGUUCGAGAACUAUGUAGACAUGACCGAGAGAUGUCUCCGGUCAAUAACCAAUAGCGGAAUGUGGAUCCUCAUAUUGGUUCCUACAUAUUCUACGAAGAUCUUUAUCGGUCAAACCGCAUAACAUACGUUGUUCCCUUUGUCAUCGGUAUGUUACUUGCCCGAGAUUCGAUCGUCGAUAUCCUCAUACCUAGUUCAAUCUCAUUACCGGCAAGUCUCUUUACUCUUUCCGUAAUGCAUCGUCCCGCAACUAACUCAUUAGUCACAAUGCUUGCAAGGCUUAUAGUGAUGUGCAUUACCGAGAGGGCCCAGAGAUACCUCUCCGAUAAUCGGAGUGGCAAAUCCUAAUCUCGAUCUAUGCCAACUCAACAAACACCAUUGGAGACACCUGUAGAGCACCUUUAUAAUCACCCAGUUACGUUGUGACGUUUGCUAGCACACAAAGUGUUCCUCCGGUAUUCGGGAGUUGCAUAAUCUCAUAGUCAUAGGAACAUGUAUAAGUCAUGAAGAAAGCAAUAGCAACAUACUAAACGAUCAAGUGCUAAGCUAACGAAAUGGGUCAAGUCAAUCACAUCAUUCUCCAAUGAUGUGAUCUCGUUAAUCAAAUGACAACUCAUGUCUAUGGCUAGGAAACUUAAUCAUCUUUGAUUCAACGAGCUAGUCAAGUAGAGGCAUACUAGUGACACUCUGUUUGUCUAUGUAUUCACACAUGUACUAAGUUUCCGGUUAAUACAAUUCUAGCAUGAAUAAUAAACAUUUAUCAUGAAAUAAGGAAAUAAAUAAUAACUUUAUUAUUGCCUCUAGGGCAUAUUUCCUUCAGUCUCCCACUUGCACUAGAGUCAAUAAUCUAGAUCACAUCACCAUGUGAUUAACAUCAAUAGUUCACAUCACCCUGUGAUUUACACCCAUAGUUCACAUCGCCAUGUGACCAACACCCAAAGGGUUUACUAGAGUCAACAAUCUAGUUCACAUCUCUAUGUGAUUAACACCCAAAGAGUACCUAGGUGUGAUCAUGUUUUGCUUGUGAGAGAAGUUUUAGUAUACGGGUCUCCCACAUUCAGAUCCGUAAGUAUUUUGCAAAUUUCUAUGUCUACAAUGCUCUGCACAGAGCUACUCUAAAUAAUUGCUCGCACUUUCAAUAUGUAUCCAGAUUGAGACGCAAAGUCAUCUGGAUCGGUGUAAAAGCUUGCAUCGACGUAACUCUUUACGACGAACUCUUUGUCACCUCCAUAACCGAGAAAUAUUUCCUUAGUCUUCUAAGGAUAAUUUUGACCGCUGUCCUGUGAUCUACUCCUAGAUCACUAUUGUACUCCCUUGCCAAACUUAUGGUGAGGUACAUAAUAGGUCUAGUACACAGCAUAGCAUACUUUAUAGAACCUAUGGCCGAGGCAUAGGGAAUGACUUUCAUUCUCUUUUUUUUUCUGCCGUGAUCGGGUUUUGAGUCUUACUCAAUUUCACACCUUGCAACACAGGCAAGAACUCUUUCUUUGACUGUUCCAUUUUGAACUACUUCAAAAUCUUGUCAAGGUAUGUACUCAUUGAAAAAUCUUAUCAAGCGUCUUGAUCUAUCUCUAUAGAUCUUGAUGCUCAAUAUGUUAGCAGCUUCACCGAGGUCUUUCUUUGAAAAACUUCUUUCAAACACUCCUUUAUGCUUUCCAGAAAAUUCUACAUCAUUUUCGAUCAACAAUAUGUCACUCACAUAUACUUAUCAGAAAGGCUGUAGUGCUCCCACUCACUUUCUUGUAAAUACAGGCUUCACUGCAAGUCUGUAUAAAACUAUAUGCUUUGGUCAACUCAUCAAAGCGUAUAUUCCAACUCCGAGAUGCUUGUACCAGUCCAUCGAUGGAUCGCUGGAGCUUGCACAUUUUGUUAGCACCUUUAGGAUUGACAAAACCUUCUUGUUGUAUCAUAUACAACUCUACUUUUAAGAAAUCCAUUAAGGAAUGCAGUUUUGACAUCCAUUUGCCAUAUUUCAUAAAAUGUGGCAAUUGCCAACAUGAUUCGGACAGACUUAAGCAUCGCUACGAGUGAGAAAAUCUCAUCGUAGUCAACACCUUGAACUUGUCGAAAACCUUUUUGCGACAAUUCGAGCUUUGUAGAUAGUAACACUACUAUCAGCGCCCGUCUUCCUCUUGAAGAUCCAUUUAUUCUUAAUGGCUUGCCGAUCAUCGGGCAAGUCAACCAAAGUCCAUACUUUGUUCUCAUACAUGGAUCCCAUAGGAGAUUUUAUGGCCUCAAGCCAUUUUGCGGAAUCUGGGCUCAUCAUCGCUUCCUCAUAGUUCGUAGGUUCGUUAUGGUUUAGUAACAUGACUUCCAGAACCGGAUUACCGUACCACUCUGGUGCGGAACGUACUCUGGUUGACCUACGAGGUUCGGUAGUAACUUGAUCUGAAGUUUCAUGAUCAUCAUCCUUAACUUCCUCACUAAUUGGUGUAGGCAUCACUGGAACUGAUUUCUGUGAUGAACUACUUUCCAAUUCGGGAGAAGGUACAGUUACCUCGUCAAGUUCUACUUCCCUCCCACUCACUUCUUUUGAGAGAAACUCCUUCUCUAGAAAGGAUCCAUUCUUAGCAACGAAUAUCUUGCCUUCGGAUCUAUGAUAGAAGGUGUACCCAACAGUUUCCUUUGGGUAUCCUAUGAAGAUGCAUUUCUCCGAUUUGGGUUUGAGCUUUAUCAGGUUGAAACUUUUUCACAUAAGCAUCGCAACCCCAAACUUUAAGAAACGACAGCUUAGGUUUCUUGCCAAACCAUAGUUCAUACGGUGUCAUCUCACCGGAUUUAGAUGGUUCCCUAUUUAACGUGAAUGUAGCUGUCUCUAAUGCAUAACCCCAAAAACGAUAGUGGUAAAUCGGUAAGAGACAUCAUAGAUUGCACUAUAUCCAAUAAAGUACGGUUAUGACGUUCGGCCACACCAUUAUGCCGUGGUGUUCUGGGUGGCAUGAGUUUGUGAAACUAUUCCACAUUGUUUUAAUUGAAGGCCAAACUCGUAACUAAAAUAUUUGCCUCCGCGAUCAGAUCGUAGAAACUUUAUUUUCUUGUUACAAUGAUUCUCCACUUCACUCUGAAAUUCUUUGAACUUUUCAACGGUUUCAGAUUUGUGUUUCAUUAAGUGGAUAUACCCAUAUCUGCUCAAAUCAUCCGUGAAGGUCAGAAAAUAACGAUACCGCCGCGAGCCUUAACACUCAUCGGACCGCAUACAUCGGUAUGUAUUAUUUCCAAUAAGUCAGUAGCUCGCUCCAUUGUUCCGGAGAACGGAGUUUUAGUCAUCUUGCCAUGAGGCAUGGUUUGCAAGUAUCAAAUGAUUCACAAUCAAGUGAUUCCAAAAGCCCAUCAGCAUGGAGUUUCUUCAUGCGCUUUACACCAAUAUGACCUAAACGGCAGUGCCACAAAUAAGUUGCACUAUCAUUAUUAACUUUGCAUCUUUUGGCUUCAAUAUUAUGAAUAUGUGUAUCACUACGAUCGAGAUCCAACAAACUAUUUUCAUUGGGUGUAUGACCAUCGAAGGUUUUAUUCAUGUAAACAGAACAACAAUUAUUCUCUGACUUUAAAUGAAUAAAUGUAUUGCAAUAAACAUGAUCAAAUCAUAUUCAUGCUCAACGUAAACACCAAAUAACAUUUAUUUAGGUUCAAUACUAAUCCCAAAGUAUAGGAAGUGUGCGAUGAUGAUCAUAUCAAUCUUUGGAACCACUUCCAACACACAUCGUCACUUCACCCUUAACUAGUCUCUGUUCAUUCUGCAACUCCCGUUUCGAGUUACUAAUCUUAGCAACUGAACUAGUAUCAAAUACUGAUGGGUUGCUAUAAACACUAGUAAAGUACACAUCAAUAACAUGUAUAUCAAAUAUACCUUUGUUCACUUUGCCAUCCUUCUUAUCCGCCAAAUACUUGGGGCAGUUCCGCUUCCAGUGACCAGUCCCUUUGCAGUAGAAGCACUUAGUCUCAGGAUUAGGUCCAGACUUGGGCUUCUUCACUUGAGCAGCAACUUGCUUGCCGUUCUUCUUGAAGUUCCCCUUCUUCCCUUUGCCCUUUUCUUGAAACUAGUGGUCUUGUCAACCAUCAACACUUGAUGCUUUUCUUGAUUUCUACCUUUGUCGAUUUCAACAUCACGAAGAGCUUGGGAAUCGUUUCCGUUAUCCCUUGCAUAUUAUAGUUCAUCACGAAGUUCUAGUAACUUGGUGAUAGUGACUAGAGAACUCUGUUAAUCACUGACACGUCUCCAACGUAUCUAUAAUUUUUGAUUGUUCCAUGCUAUUAUAUUAUCUGUUUUGUAUGUUUAAUGAGCUUUAUUAUGCACUUUUAUAUUAUUUUUGGGACUAACCUACUAACCAAAGGCCCAGUGCAAAUUGCUGUUUUUUUGCCUAUUUCAGUGUUUCGCAGAAAAGGAAUAUCAAACGGAAUGAAACCUUUGGAAGAAUUAUUUUUGGAACAAACGCAAUCCAGGAGACUUGGAGUGGACGUCAAGGAAGCAACGAGGCGGCCACGAGGUAGGGAGACGCGCCCCCCACCCUCGUGGGCCCCUCUUGGCUCCACCGACCUACUUCUUUCGCCUAUAUAUACUCAUAUACCCUGAAAACAUUCGAGAGCACCACAAAAUCCUAUUUCCACCACCGCAACCUUCUGUACCUGUGAGAUCCCAUCUUGGGGCCUUUUCUGGCGCUCCGUCGGAGGGGGAAUCGAUCACGGAGGGCUUCUACAUCAACACCAUAUAUAGCCUCUCCGAUGAUGUGUCAGUAGUUUACCACAGACUUUCGGGUCCAUAGUUAUUAGCUAGAUGGCUUCUUCUCUCUCUUUGGAUCUCAAUACAAAGUUCUCCUCGAUUCUCUUGGAGAUCUAUUUGAUGUAAUUCUUUUUGCAGUGUGUUUGUCGAGAUCCGAUGAAUUGUGGGUUUAUGAUCAAGAUUAUCUAUGAACAAUAUUUGGUUCUUCUCUGAAUUCUUAUAUGUAUGAUUUGAUAUCUUUGCAAGUCUCUUCGAAUUAUCAGUUUGGUUUGGCCUACUAGAUUGAUCUUUCUUGCAAUAGGAGAAGUGCUUAGCUUUGGGUUCAAUCCUGCGGUGUCCUUUCCCAGUGACAGCAGGGGCAGCAAGGCACGUAUUGUAUUGUUGCCAUCGAGGAUAAAAAUAUGGGGUUUAUAUCAUAUUGCUUGAGUUUAUCCCUCUACAUCAUGUCAUCUUGCCUAAUGCGUUACUCUGUUCUUAUGAACUUAAUACUCUAGAUGCAUGCUGGAUAGCGGUCGAUGUGUGGAGUAAUAGUAGUAGAUGCAGAAUCGUUUCGGUCUACUUGUCGCCGACGUGAUGCCUAUAUACAUGAUCAUGCCUAGAUAUUCUCAUAACUAUGCGCUUUUCUAUCAAUUGCUCGACAGUAAUUUGUUCACGCACCGUAGAUUAUGCUAUCUUGAGAGAAGCCACUAGUGAAACCUAUGGCCCCCGGGUCUAUCUUCCAUCAUAUUAUUUUCCUAUCAAUUUGCUAUUUCUGCCGCCGUUUAUUUUGCAAUCUUUACUUUCCAAUCUAUAUCAUAAAAAUACCAAAAAUAUUUAUCUUAUUAUCUCUAUCAGAUCUCACUUUUGCAAGUGGCCGUGAAGGGAUUGACAACCCCUUUAUCGCGUUGGUUGCAAGGUUCUUAUUUGUUUGUGCAGGUACAAGGCGACUUGCGUGUAACCUCCCACUGGAUUGAUACCUUGGUUCUCAAAAACUGAGGGAAAUACUUACGCUACUUUGCUGCAUCACCCUUUCCUCUUCAAGGGAAAACCAACGCAUGCUCAAGAGGUAGCAAGAAGGAUUUUUGGCGCCGUUGCCGGGGAGGCUUACGCCAAGUCAAGUCAAGAUUUGAUCUCCCAGCAACUAGCCAUUUCUGGCACCGUUGCCGGGGAGAUCUACGCACAAGUCAAGACAUACCAAGUACCCAUCACAAACUCUUAUCCCUCGCAUUACAUUAUUUGCCAUUUGCCUCUCGUUUUCCUCUCCCCCACUUCACCUUUGCCGUUUUAUUCGCCCUCUUUUUUCGUUCGUCUCUUUUCGCUUGCUUUUUGUGUGCUCGUUCUUUGUGCAAUUUGCCGCCAUCAUGCCUGAAACUGGGGAGGUUAUCGUUGAUAAGGAUAGUAGUAAUAACAUGGAAAACUUUGAUGCUUUUGAUGAUCCUCAUGAAGAACCUACAUUUUACACACUAAAAUGUUACAGAUUGGUACCGGUAAUAUUAUUGGAAAAGGAGUUAUUCAAGAUUUCUUUACUUGUGCCGGUGCCCUGCCCUCUAUGGGUGGGUCUAUUCUUCAUAGAACUAGUAGUCUUGCGGAUGCUAUAUCCUUGCUCGUAGUUGAACUAGAAAGACAAUUUAUUCAUAUGCAUCCUUGCAUACAAAUGAUUUUUCUAGAGUUUUCCAAUAUCGAGCAUUCUUCUGUUAAGCGUGCAGCUACUAUCUUUUUGGCACAUGAGUUCAGAUUUAUAAUAAAAGAGGCCAAUGAAAUUUUUGCGCAUUAUAGGGUGGACGCUGGCCGUCCUCCCAUAGAAGCUAUCCUUUUUAAUCAAGAAGACUUAAUGCGUUUACGGUCUUUAGAUCAUGUUGCUUAUAAUGAAAACCUUAGAAAAAAGGUUCCUACCGACGCUCUAGUCGACAGAAUCUCUGAACUCAAUGAUGAUUUUGCUAUUGAGAACAAUGGGUUAGGUUUUUCUCUUGAACAAAGGCUCAUGACUUCUUUUCCAAAAGAAUGCUUAUAAUGAUGAAUUGGUUGUGCAAUAUAAGGGGCCAAAGGAGGAACCCAUACCUCCCGAGCUUGAUCUUGGGGACUUUUGUCCCAUUAAAUUUAGCCCUUUUGAUUUGCUUGCCACAAAGAAAACUUGCUGCUGAACGUAGGGAAUAUGAGAUGAGUUUUCGCGAUUUGCCUUACUAUUAUUAUGAUAAUACCUAGAUCUAUUCUUGCCUUUAUGCCUAGCUAGGGGCGUUAAACGAUAGCGCUUGUUGGGAGGCAACCCAAUUUUAUUUUUGUUCCUUGCAUUUUGUUCCUGUUUAGUAAUAAAUAACUCAUCUAGACUCUGGUUAGAUGUGGUUUUAUGUUUUAAUUAGUGUUUGUGCCAAGUAGAACCUUUGGGAAGACUUGGGUGAAGUCUUUGAGAUCUUGCUGUAAAAAACAGAAACUUUUGCGCUCACGAGAUUAGCUGCCAUUUUUUAAUGGAGAGUGAUUUUAGGUUGAUUAUUUUUGCAGAUGAUUAAUAGACAAAUUGCUCACGUCCACCAAUUUAUUUCAGAAUUUUUAGUGUUACAUAAGUAUACAUUUGAUACAGAUUACUACAGACUAUUCUGUUUUUGACAGAUUCUGUUUUUGUGUGUUGUUUGCUUAUUUUGAUGAAUCUAUGGCUAGUAUCGNNNNNNNNNNNNNNNNNNNNNNNNNNNNNNNNNNNNNNNNNNNNNNNNNNNNNNNNNNNNNNNNNNNNNNNNNNNNNNNNNNNNNNNNNNNNNNNNNNNNNNNNNNNNNNNNNNNNNNNNNNNNNNNNNNNNNNNNNNNNNNNNNAAGUUGGAAUACAGUAGGUUUAACACCAAUAUAAAUAAAGAAUGAGUUCUUUACAGUACCUUAAAGUGGUGAUUUGUUUUCUUAUACUAACGGAGCUCAUGAGAUUUUCUGUUGAGUUUUGUGUUGUGAAGUUUUCAAGUUUUGGGUAAAUAUUUGAUGGAUUAUGGAAUAAGGAGUGGCAAGAGCCUAAGCUUGUGGAUUCCCAAGGCACCCCAAGGUAAAAUUCAAGGACAACCAAAAGCCUAAGCUUGGGGAUGCCCCGGAAGGCAUCCCCUCUUUUGUCUUCGUCUAUCGGUAACUUUACUUGAGGCUAUAUUUUUAUUCACCACAUGAUAUGCGUUUUGCUUGGAGCGUCUUGUAUGAUUUGAGUCUUUGCUUUUUAGUUUACCACAAUCAUCCUUGCUGACCUUUUGGAGAGACACACAUGAAUCGGAAUUUAUUAGAAUACUCUAUGUGCUUCACUUAUAUCUUUUGAGCUAGAUAAUUUUGCUCUAGUGCUUCACUUAUAUCUUUUAGAGCACGGUGGUGGUUUUAUUUUAUAGAAAUUAUUGAUCUCUCAUGCUUCACUUAUAUUACUUUGAGAGUCCUUUAGAACAGCAUGGUCAUUUGCUUUGGUUAUAAAAUUAGUCCUAAUAUGAUGAACAUCCAAGAUGGGUAUAAUAAAAACUUUCAUAUAAAGUGCAUCGAAUACUAUGAGAAGUUUGAUACUUGAUAAUUGUUUUGAGAUAUGAAGAUGGUGAUAUUAGAGUCAUGCUAGUUGAGUAGUUGUGAAUUUGAGAAAUACUUGUUCUAAAGUUUGUGAUUCCCAUAGCAUGCACGUAUGGUGAACCGUUAUGUGAUGAAGUCGGAGAUGAUUUAUUUAUUGAUUGUCUUCCUUAUGAGUGGCGGUCGGGGAAGAGCAAUGGUCUUUUCCUACCAAUGUACCCCCCUAGGAGCAUGCGCGUAGUACUUCGUUUCGAUAACUAAUAGAUUUUUGCAAUAAGUAUGUGAGUUCUUUAUGACUAAUGUUGAGUCCAUGGAUUAUACGCACUCUCACCCUUCCAUCAUUGCUAGCCUCUCUAAUACCGUGCACCUUUCGCCGGUAUCAUACACCCACCAUAUACCUUCCUCAAAACAGCCACCAUACCUACCUAUUAUGGCAUUUUCAUAGCCAUUCCGAGAUACAUUGCCAUGCAACUUUCCACCGUUCCGUUUAUUAUGACACGCUCCAUCAUUGUCAUAUUGCUUUGCAUGAUCAUGUAGUUGACAUCGUAUUUGUGGCAAAGCCACCUUUAUAAUUCUUUCAUACAUGUCACUCUUGAUUCAUUGCAUAUCCCGGUACACCGCCGGAGGCAUUCACACAGAGUCAUAUUUUGUUCUAAGUAUUGAGUUCUAAUUUUUGAGUUGUAAGUAAACAAAAGUGUGAUGAUCAUCAUUAUUAGAGCAUUGUCCCAAGUGAGGAAAGGAUGAUGGAGACUGUGAUUCCCCCACAAGUCGGGAUGAGACUCUGGACGAAAAGAAAAAAAAAGAAAAAAAA
rnacentral:lncRNA from 1 species